rnacentral:rRNA from 1 species
UACGAAGGGGGCUAGCGUUGCUCGGAAUGACUGGGCGUAAAGGGCGCGUAGGCGGCUCAUACAGUCAGAUGUGAAAUUCCUGGGCUUAACCUGGGGGCUGCAUUUGAUACGUGUGGGCUUGAGUGGGGAAGAGGGUCGUGGAAUUCCCAGUGUAGAGGUGAAAUUCGUAGAUAUUGGGAAGAACACCGGUGGCGAAGGCGGCGACCUGGUCCUUGACUGACGCUGAGGCGCGAAAGCGUGGGGAGCAAACGGG